rnacentral:lncRNA from 1 species
AAACCUUCACUCUGUCUCAGCUCCCAAAAGAACCUUUUCGCCUCAUCAUUCAUCACUCUAUACCCUCUCUGUAACAAACACAACAGACCACUUUCCAUGCCCGCAAGGAUGGUGUGAAAGCACAGCCAUGGGAGGACUCAGAUGGGAUGCAGUGAGGACAGCCAUGGGAGACCUCAGGCAAGGCUGUGUGAUAGCACAGCCAUGAGAGACCACAGGCAAAGGUCACAGUCUCUUCUUGGCUAUUACCACUCACCAAGGGCUCCUCCAUGUCCAGAGAUGUCUGGAAAACUGGCAAACUAGAGAAGUGAAGAAGAGAAACAUGUCCAAUGCACAGGCUACAUCCAUGAUCCUGGUAGGGACAGAAGAGGGUUAUAACAAAUGAUUCAGGAAUCUCUCACAACACAAGAAAAACUGCCCCUUCCCCACAUACAGCG